GGGCCGCACGCGCGCUACACUGACAGAGCCAGCGAGUUAUUUUUUCCUUGCCGGAAGGCCUGGGUAAUCUUGUGAAACUCUGUCGUGAUGGGGAUAGAGCAUUGCAAUUAUUGCUCUUCAACGAGGAAUUCCUAGUAAGGCAAGUCAUCAGCUUGCGUUGAUUACGUCCC
rnacentral:rRNA from 1 species